GGAACAGAAGGUACGGAUCCCGAGUCCUUUUGAUUAUCAAUACUAGUAUAAUUGCCUGACAUCAUCUUUCCAAGAUUUCCCUUUCUUUCUCUUCUGUUAAUUUUCUUUUUGUCUUCCCUCUGCUAAGUGCUAACAGAUCUCUCCCCCGCCUGCUCGCAAGCUUGCGCGUUGGGCGUUUAGUUUUAUUGGUUUUAUUUUAUUGUUUUUGUCUUCACAGGCAAGCGAGAAUGUCUGCGUCAGGUAAUAAGAAC
rnacentral:misc_RNA from 1 species